AAGCCUCACAUAUAUACAUAUUUGUAAGCUAAAUGAUAUUUCUCUUCAUUACAUUUUAUCUGGUGACACUCUUUUUUGUCAUUAACUUCCAUACAGGCCCAUGCGAGAUUACGUUUUCAAAAGAUGACAAACAAAAGCUUCGAAGUCAGCCUUGCUGGCUAAAGUUGGACUGAACAUCCAAGAAGCACAUGCUUUCUCCACAGUGGAUCGCUACUCAUUAGAUGUCUUUGCUGUUGAUGGUUGGCCAUAUGAGAACCAGUCUUGGCCAAGUCAAAGUUCAUCAUCCCUUUAAGUGAGCUCGACCAACGAAGUGGCGUUAGAGUUCUCUCAAUAUCAACGGGGCGUUUUACUCGUAUAGACAAGGAAAUCGUAGUUGACUUAAAGGCCUGCUCUCAAUGACCAUAAUGUUCGACUUACCUCCAAUGAUUUCUUUCUUUGAUCCUUUCUUUGAUUCUGGAGGAUGUUCUUAGAGACGUUGCAGAGAUGUUUAGACCUUCAACUUCAUUUUUUGCAUGAUUUGAUUCUUUUUACAAAUACUGUCAUAUUAGAUGUAGCAAAAUGGACGAGUCAGGUUGAUUGGAUAACAAUAAGGUGAUAU